rnacentral:rRNA from 1 species
GGACUACAGGGGUAUCUAAUCCUGUUUGCUCCCUUGGCUUUCGUGCCUCAGUGUCAGGUAUCGUCCAGGGACUCGCCUUCGCCACUGGUGUUCCUCUUGAUAUCUACGCAUUUCACUGCUACACCAAGAAUUCCAGUCCCCCCUCCGAUCCUCCAGACCAUCAGUAUUCAAUGCCAUUCCCGGGUUAAGCCCGGGGCUUUCACAUCAAACUUGACAGCCCACCUGCGCACCCUUUACGCCCAGUGAAUCCGAACAACGCUUGGGACCUCUGUAUUACCGCGGCUGCUGGCAC